UCGUGUACUAUCGUGUACAAAGUCAGUUCCCGUUUUAUCAUUAUUUGGAAUGGCUCUUAGCUGAAGCUUCUGUCUUCUCUGAAGCUUAGAAAACAUUAUUCUGAAGACUGAACAACAAGGGAAGAGGUAUAAAGCUUUGUCAAGCUUAUUAAGGUAAUUCCUACUUUUUAUCGCAGCCUUCACUGCUAGGGUCCUUUGCUCAUGGGCGUUUCUAGAGAUUGAGGCAGGGGGUGCUCAAGAGCAGUGGCGGAUCUAGAAUUCUUGAAAGAGGGGUUCCAGGGCUCUGAGCGGGUCAAGGACUGUUAAAAAAAAAGGUCGUCACUUCUUCGAAACGGUGAGCAUGCGCAUUAACACACAGAAUUUAAAAAGGUCAUCACUUUUCAUAAGCGUCUGCAUGCACUACGCUGGAGAGUUUUUAGCCUUCAUAGUCACUGAAACUGCACAGACAAAGUUUCGUAUGACUAACAAGGACUAAAGGUAAGUGAGAAGUGCAUGUGAAAGCUAGGACAAUUUGCUAACUUUCUUACUAGCUUUCAAUUGAACCCAAAGAACCCCCUCUAGAUCCGCCACUGAAGAGCACAGAAAAAAAUGAGGCCGCGCGCGCAAUUUUACGCCCCCACAUUUAUUGCGGCACGUUUUUUACAUGCAUAGCGUGAUUAUUAUUAUUAUUUUUUCAAAAUAAACAAUGUGAAAUUGACAAAAGGGACAAAACAAAAAGAAAGGUAAAGGGUACAAACAUAAAAUAGAAGGGUACAUACAAAGGUUCAGUUUAUUUGUGGAGGUGGACCUCCGACAUCACCAGGUCGAUAGCCCCAACUCUGAAGGGGUGUCCACAUGACAAUCUGGACCCUCUAAUAGCUUGAAUGGAUGAUCUUAGGAGGGAAAAGGUUAGUCGGCAACGGAGCCAGGAUAGUGUGCUGCCGUAUGAUUGGUCCCAUUUGGAUGAUAGCAUGGAGGCAAGUUUCUUGUAGAAGGUUGUUGCUUCACAUGCUAGGCCUCACGUUGCAGAGAGUACUAGAGGGGAGAAGAAUGCCUGUUCAAUGUCUAGAAUUCUUUGUUUGUAGGCCUUUUUUUUAAUUAAUUCAUGUUUGCGAUAGACUGUGUGUGGGUCGGCGUGUCUGUUGGAUGCAGCGUGUGGGUUAAAUACCUAACAUCAAAAAAGGUUCUUUCAAAGGAGCCUCCCAUACUCCAUUGGCUGCAAAGUCUAGGCGUGCACCCGGUUGUGUGUUGGCACUUGGCAUUUGCUAAAUAAUAUGUACAAACAAAAUCCACCCUCUUCAGUUGUUGCACUAGAGGGCAGAAUGGUUUGUUAUCCUUCAUUAACCUCGAGACAGAACCACAAAAUUAAUAGAUUCUAGGUAAGGUUGUUUUUUAACCGCUGCUAUUUUCGGCGGCUAUUUUCUAAAAUAGCCACCUUGCUAUUCCGACAAAGUUGAACUCCCCGGCAAGGGUGGCCGAUUAACGAGAGUCUACUGUAUAUAUAUAUGUAUUCUCAGGAACUACUAAGUGUACUGUAUCUCCCUUCAGUCAACAUAUUUGACCACACAAUAAUAGGGGUUUUGGUAAAGAUCAUUAAGUUAUAUACAUCAAUGUAUAUCUAUAUAUAGCCAGCCAAGUGUUAUUAGCAUGUAGCAUGCAUUGGGUGUAUACGUGAGGGCUUAUCCUAAAGAUAACUAUCAAUUGAAAUUAAUGAGGAGGAUUAAAUCUAUGCUACAUUUAUAGUUGUUAAUAUGUCAGCCUAAAGUUCAAUACUGUCAGUGAAUAUACUACUUGGUGGGCGCGGUACCCACUCUUAGUUCAGAUAUGCUGGAGGGGCUUCUCCGCCAGCCAAGUACUGAGCAGGGUACAGGGCAGGGGGCUGUGGUCCAGAGGGGUAGGAUUCAGUGUGAGGGUACGGGUACGAGGGAUCAGCAUAUUGUCUAGUUGGGUAGGGGGCAACUGGUUGAGGUGCAUACAUAUCUUGAGGGGGGGGCCUGAUUCAUGUAUUAAUUGGAGAUUUUGGUCCAUGGAUUGCAUGGGAUAGGCUGUAUUUUGUAUAUUUGCAGCUUUCGGCGUAGCAUUAUUGACUACAGGAGUCCUGGGUGGAAGGUGAGCCAGGCGAUGUCUUCUUCUUAUGCAAAUACAGAACAAGAUGAUAAUCACAAUUAUGAUGAUAAUGACGACGAUAGGAACAGUUACACCAAUGCUGAUGAUUGGUAUGAUGUUGGAUGACGAGAGAGUAGGUACUGUAAUACAAUUGUAAAUGUCAGGUAAUUAGGUGUCACUAACAUGCAUGUAUCAUUUGUAUUUCAGGUAAAUACAUAGCUAUAUAUGUCAUUGCAGUAAUAUGCCAAUCGCCGAGCUAUGUAAUAUGUCUUGGCCAACAUUAAUACUUGAUACUAUAUAUAGCAUAGAUUGGCAACUCUAACCUGUAGAACUGCACAUUAAGGCCACAUCUUGUGUGUGGGUGCAAUCUUCAACUCCGAUAGUGUUAGCAGGACAAUUAAUGAGUCUGCUCUCAGUUCCUGAGCAACGAAGCUCGUCCAACCAUGUUGGAGAGUCCGAUAAGAUUUCAUUGAAACUAUAUAUACAUGUGCAUGCAUGCAUGCAUGCAACAAAGUAACUUUUCAAGAUGGAUGAUUCGAUGGCGAGUCAUGAAUGGCUAUUAUAAGUUAAUGAGACUACUCAGUGAUGAGCUUACACACUCACCCUAGUGUUCCAACUGUUCCGUAUCGAGUAUAGGUUGAGAACCCUAUAGUUGACGACAAGCCACCCUUGCAUCAUUUAUACCGAAUCUGUCAUCACACACUGCCCCCCAUUGUCCAUUGUAAUAUACCUCCAGUCUGCCAGAGGAGCCUCCUGUUUGGCCUGAGCUGCCUACCAGCCUCAGGUCUCCAUCUGAGGGGAAAAAAAACAGCGAAGAAUACAAAUUAAGGACUGCAUGGUUUUGUAACGUCAAGCAUUCAGAUGCGUAAAAGGACUGUAGUAAUGUCACACUAUAUUCGUGUAUAUAAUUACUUGCAGUACAGAUCAAGGCCACGUCUUGUGUGUGGGUGCAAUCUUCAACUCCAAUAGUGUUAGCUGGACAAUUAACGAGUCUGCUCUUAGUUCCUAAACAAAGAAGCUCGUCCAGCCAUGUUGGAGAGUCUGAUGAAAUUUCAUUGAAACUGUACAAUAAAGUAAAUCUUCAAGAUUUAUAAUUUGAUGCAAGUUGUGAAAUAUGCAUGGUUAACAUUGUUGAUCAUGCACUCAAUGAUCAUCUUAUAAAUUAUCUCACCCUAGCGUUCCAACUGUUCCAUAUCGAGUGUAGGUUAAGAACCCUAGUUGACGACAAGCCACUCUUGCAUCAUUUGGACUGAAGCGAUCGUCACACACUGCCCCCCAUUGUUCAUUAUUAUAGACCUCCAGUCUGCCAGAAGAGCCUCCUGUUUGGCCUGAGUUGCCUACCAGCCUCAGGUCUCCAUCUGAAGGGUAUACAGAGACGUUAAUACCUCAGGCUGGCUAUAAUUAUCAUUCAAAGUAGUUUUAUAUGUGUUUGAUGAAGCUCGACUUGUUAUGAUACUGAAUAUCAGCAGGAAAACUAUGAAUCCUUUAAAAUAAAAAUAUAUAUGAGAAUAUAAUUAUAGUCCCUACAGAAAUGAUAUCAGUAAAAAAUAGUGAGUUUCUAAAUUGUCUUUUUAAUGUGCGUGCAUGGAUAUCUCAUGCAGAUAUUGGUUUGAACUAUAGCCCUGUUUACACCACAUCUAAUCUGGGUCGAAUCCGGAUUUAAUCGGGUCAGAUUUUUCUGAGUAGUGAGCAUAUGUACAUAUUCGUGGGUGUUUCUAGAGUAAGCCCACAGCUUCUAAUGAAAUUAGUGGUCAUUUUACUACCUCAGAACUAGAGCACUAAAGUGCAAACCCUCGGCCGGCUGGUGACAUGAUUAAGAAACCAUAUAUAAAAACAGAUGCUGAGUUUUAGUGGUACAUAUGCACUGUGGAUCACAGCAAAGAAGCUUAGAGUCUCAGAGAAGUAUGGCUCCUGUAGUAGCUAGGACCUAGCAGUCUGCUACAGAGACAGCAACACAAUUCUAGCUUUCUAUUUUAGCGACCCCUUUCCAUUGUUUCUGGUACGGGAUCACUUCAGCUGUAAAUAUGUAGGGUGCCUCUAAUAAAGGCCGUGUGUAGUUAGCUAGUUGCCAACGUGUAAAUUCAAGAUUUUUAGCUUUUGCUCGCUUUUAUUCGACAACGAAGCUUUAACAUCAAAUCUGCCAAAUUUAAAACUACUACCUUGUCCAUGGCAUAAACACAGUGCUAUCGCAUCCAGGUGAGUAGACUCAGAAUACACAGACAGACAGACAGACAGACAGACAGACUGACUAAUAUAACCCGUGGCGCCGCGGCGCGCCUCGGGUUAAUAAGCCCUCUGCGCUUACUCACAUCUAAAUUAAGGAUAAGGGCCGUUUACACGAACGCGGUUAGGUUUAAUCCGGAUUCCAACCCAAAUUAAAGGUCUGAUGUAAACGGGGCUUAUGCCCUUGGGUACAAAUCCAAUGCACCCUAUUAUAGUAUAGUAUAUGCAUGGUACAACUAUUACAUUCGUGUACAUAACAUAACACACACACACACACACCAUCACCCCACAUACACCGCCCCUAUGCAUAUACACAUGCAUUGGAACUGUACAUAUAUUACUAUACUGCAUGCACCUCACUAUAUUCAUAUAAUCAUCCUUACUUGCAGUACAGACCAAGACCACAUCUUGGGUGUGGGUACAAUCUUCAACUCCGAUAGUGUUAGCGGGACAAUCCAUAAGUAUUCUCUCAGUUCCUAAGCAAUGAAGCUCAUUCAGCCAUGUCCGGGUGGAAUUUGAAGGCUGGGAGAAACUGUAUAUAGUGUAGAAAAGGAUUAUCUUAAUUGUACUAUAAAUAUAAUUAUGGUUGGUGAAGAUUGGAAGAACAGUAAGAGGAACUGGAUCCACUAAAAUUAGUCAUAAAUGUACAUGCACUCACCCUAAUGUUUCUACUCUUCCAUACUUGGUAUAGUCUGUGUACCCUAGCUGACGACAAGCCACUCUUGCAUCAUUUGGACCAAAGCUGUCAUCACACACUGUCUCCCACUGAUCAAUAUUAAAGAACUCCAGUCUACCAGAGGAGGCUACCCAAGUGGUAGCAGGAUUCACUAGUCUCAAAACUCCAUCUAAAUUUGUAAGAUGCAUGAAGUAUGUAACUAUUGAAAGUGUAUAACAUCACUCACUUAUUGCACACACUAAUGCCACAUCAUCAGAACGGUCACAAUUAUGAACUCCGGUAGGAUUUUGUGGGCAUUCAUCCAGUCUGCUUUCAGAACCAUUGCAGCGAAGGUUGUCCAACCAUGUUGGAGUGGAUUCUGACGCUGCUAGGUCACCAGAACUAUUAUAUUAGUAAAGGAAUUGUAAUCGAAACCAAGCUGACGACAAGCAACAAGUGCACCAGCUGGACCAAAUCCAUCCUGACACACUGUCCCCCAUUGUCCACUAUAGUAGACCUCCAGUCUACCAACUCCUCUGCCUCCUGUUAAACCGGACGUAUCUAUCAGCCUCA